UUUUUCAAACAAAAAAAGCCAAAAA
rnacentral:sRNA from 1 species